rnacentral:tRNA from 1 species
AAAAUACUCUGGGACUGCUAGGUUUUCUAAACCUUUACAGGAGAGGUUCAAUUCCUUUCCUAUUUUU